GGUAGUCUCGCACAGAUGCAUAUCAAUAAGCGGAGGAAAAGAAACUAACAAGGAUUCCCCUAGUAACGGCGAGUGAAGCGGGAAGAGCUCAAAUUUGAAAUCUUAAAGGGUUUCCCUUUACGAAUUGUAGUUUAAAGAAGUGUUUUCUGUUGAGGUUUUGGUAAAAGUUCUUUGGAAUAGGACAUCAUAGAGGGUGAGAAUCCCGUAUUUGACCUUUACUUUCAACUUUGUGAUACACUUUCAAAGAGUCGGAUUGUUUGGGAAUGCAGUCCAAAAUGGGUGGUAAAUUUCAUCUAAAGCUAAAUAUUGGCGAGAGACCGAUAGCGAACAAGUACCGUGAGGGAAAGAUGAAAAGAACUUUGAAAAGAGAGUUAAACAGUACGUGAAAUUGUCAAAAGGGAAGCGUCUGACACCAGUGUUGUUUUUCUGAAAAUCAAUUAAAGAACUGUUUAUGCUAAGUUGUUUAGACUUUAUCAGCUAACUGUUUAGUUUUGAGCUUUUCUUUAAUGCACUUUUCAGUUAACAAGUCAACAUCAAUUUCUUUUGCUGUAAAAAAGCUUGAGGAAGGUGGCUUGAGAUUCGUCUUAAGUGUUUAUAGCCUCUUGCCUAUGCAGUCGGAGAGAUUGAGGUCUGCAGCGUAGAUCCUUCGGGGCUAAAUGCAUUUGUGCUAAGUUAUAGCAUUUUAUAGACAACUUGUUGACUAUGAUUUGUCUUGUAGCUUACUCGCUUAUGUUAUUUUACCUACGCUUAGGAUGUUGAUGUGAUACUGCGAGCA
rnacentral:rRNA from 1 species